GCUACCACGCGAGUGGAUGCCAAUCCCCAAAACCUCUCUCAGUUCGGACUGGAGUCUGCAACCCGACUCCACGAAGCUGGAUUCGCUAGUAAUCGCGCAUCAGCCACGGCGCGGUGAAUACGUUCCCGGGCCUUGUACACACCGCCCGUCAAGCCAUGGGAGCCGGGGGUACCUGAAGUGCGUAACCGCGAGGAGCGCCCUAGGGUAAAACUGGUGACUGGGGCUAAGUCGUAACAAGGUAAC
rnacentral:rRNA from 1 species